GAUGAACGCUGGCGGCGUGCCUAACACAUGCAAGUCGAACGGAGUCCAGCCUUUAAGACCUUCGGGUCAAAGAGGGGAAGACUGAGUGGCGGACGGGUGAGUAACACGUGGGCAACCUGGCUCAUAGAGGGGGAUAACAGAGAGAAAUUUCUGCUAAUACCGCAUAAGCACACACUGCCGCAUGGCAGAGGGUGAAAAGAGAAUCGCUAUGAGAUGGACCCGCGUCUGAUUAGCCAGUUGGCAGGGUAAGAGCCUACCAAAGCGACGAUCAGUAGCCGAUCUGAGAGGAUGAACGGCCACAUUGGGACUGAGACACGGCCCAAACUCCUACGGGAGGCAGCAGUGGGGGAUAUUGCACAAUGGGGGGAACCCUGAUGCAGCGACGCCGCGUGAGUGAAGAAGUAUUUCAGUAUGUAAAGCUCUAUCAGCAGGGAAGAUAAUGACAGUACCUGAAUAAGAAGCCCCGGCUAACUACGUG
rnacentral:rRNA from 1 species